GCCUUGCAAGAUCUACAGCUUAACACCAAAGGAUGCCCCUUAAACUCUAUACGCAUGAAGUAUAGACAAGACAAGUACAAAUCGGUGGCGGUAUUCAGUUCUGCGAAGCUACCUGAGAAGCUAUUCAUCUCCUAACAUAAGAGAUAGCUGUAACAACAAACAACAUUUGUGAUCGUCCCGAGUCAAAUAAAAAAACAGUGCCUUUCUUUCCACGGUCUUAUCAUACCAAGUAACCGGACUACCUACUAGUUAGAGUUCGGUUAUCUUCCGGUUUAGUUUUAGACCUGUUUGGUUCUUCCAAACCUGAUUUGUACUGAUCGGUAGGAAACACGAGUUUUUUCUUUUAAA